rnacentral:misc_RNA from 1 species
AAGUCGUAACAAGGUAUCUGUAGGUGAACCUGCAGAUGGAUCAUUUCGAUGAAAACCCUUUUUUCAGAGGUGUGGCUCGCACCUGUCCAACUAAACUUGAGCUACCUUUUUUCAACACGGUUGCAUCGGUCGGCCUGUCAAACAGUGCGACGCAAGGAGAAAAUCCUUGCGUCUGCUGGGCGACGGACGGACAAUUUUAUUUAACACUUUUGGAUGAUCUAGGAUUUGAAGGAGAAAAAGUCAUUUUUACGAAUGAAAUCGACUGGUAAUGCGGUCGUCUAAUUUUAAAAACAACUUUUGGCAACGGAUCUCUUGGUUCUCC